rnacentral:rRNA from 1 species
GUGCCAGCCGCCGCGGUAAUACGUAGGGUGCAAGCGUUAAUCGGAAUUACUGGGCGUAAAGCGUGCGCAGGCGGUUGUGCAAGACAGAUGUGAAAUCCCCGGGCUUAACCUGGGAACUGCAUUUGUGACUGCACGGCUAGAGUGUGUCAGAGGGGGGUAGAAUUCCACGUGUAGCAGUGAAAUGCGUAGAUAUGUGGAGGAAUACCGAUGGCGAAGGCAGCCCCCUGGGAUAACACUGACGCUCAUGCACGAAAGCGUGGGGAGCAAACAGGAUUAGAUACCCCCGUAGUCC